rnacentral:rRNA from 1 species
CCUACGGGAGGCAGCAGUUUCGAAUCGUUCACAAUGGGGGCAACCCUGAUGGCGCGACGCCGCGUGGGGGAUGAAGGUCUUCGGAUUGUAAACUCCUGUCAUUGGGGACUAACGGCCAGGCUCAUACCCUGGUUUGAAUUAACCCAAAGAGGAAGCAGUGGCUAACUCUGUGCCAGCAGCCGCGGUAAUACAGAGACUGCAAGCGUUACUCGGAUUCACUGGGCGUAAAGGGAGCGCAGGCGGAUUAGUGUGUCAGGCGUGAAAUCCCGGGGCUCAACCCCGGUACCGCGCCCGAAACUACUAAUCUAGAGACUUGGAGGGGUAAGCGGAAUUCUGGUGGAGCAGUGAAAUGCGUAGAUAUCAAGAGGAACACCAACGGCGAAGGCAGCUUACUGGACAAGAUCUGACGCUCAGGCUCGAAAGCGUGGGGAGCAAAAGGGAUUAGAUACCCCUGUAGUCCACGCUGUAAACGGUGCGCAUUAGGUCUUGGAGCUUUCGAACGCUCCAGGGCUCAAGCUAACGCAUUAAAUGCGCCGCCUGGAGACGACGCCGCGAGACGUAAACUACGAAAGAAAGUUAGACGGCGUGAGACGUGACCGAACGGACGACGACGAGGGAGGAGG